GAUUAAUCAGGACUCUAAAUAUACUUCACGGAUUAAGCAUAAUAUGAUCAUGAUUGAAUACAGGCAGCUAGGGGGCCCGCUCAUUUAGAAUAGUUAUCGGGAGACUAAUCAGGCAACAAAUAUACUAGCUACGGAAGGAGCACAAGCAAGAAGCUAUUAUAAUAUAUUAGAACAGACAAUUUCAGUCUGUGACCCGUAUAUUAGGUAUAG
rnacentral:lncRNA from 1 species